GUCUGUGUGUGGGUUUGUGCACAGGAGGGCAGUUGCCCACAGAGGCCAGAGGAACCCGGAGCCUGAAUUACAGAUGGUUGUAUGCCACACACUGCCAGCUCUGGGAACCAAACUUGGAUCCUCUGGAAGAGCAGGCAGUGCUUCUAACCCAUGAGCCCUCUCUCCAGCCCUGUGUAUACGUAUUAUAUAUACCCGAAUACCCAGGGUCGUAGAAACAUGUCUAGAGCACACAGGGCCUGGAGUGGAGGAGGCGUAAGAAGAUGGAGGGCGGGGGAGGUAUCAUGAGAACUUAGCUGUGAUGGUAGAGUGUCCCCGAUAGCGUUUAGUCAGACAUUUCUGUGGUGUUUGGUUUCUGGGAUUUUUUUUGCUUGUUUGUUUUGGUUUUGGUUUUUUCCUACCGUUGAAACAGAGCUACGGGACACCCCGGUGUGUGAUUUCUGAGAGGGCGGCACACAGUAAAGCGUUUUCUAGAGCAAGGAAGAGAGGGCCAUAAGAGACCGGAACCUCCUCCAGGUUCAAGACCGGGAACAGCCCAUCCCUUGGAAGGUGCAGUUUAACCUAGGCAACAGCAGCCGACCUAGUAACCAGUGCCGGAACUCCGUUCAAGGGAAACACCUCAUCACCGACGAGCUGGGCUAUGUCUGCGAGAGGAAGGACCUGCUGGCGAAUGGCUGUUGCGACGUCAGUGUCCCCAGCACGAAGCAGUACUGCUGUAAUGGGUGCCUGGCCAAUGGCUGCUGUGA
rnacentral:lncRNA from 1 species